GACGAACGCUGGCGGCGCGCUUAACACAUGCAAGUCGAACGGAAAGGCCCUGCUUUUGUGGGGUGCUCGAGUGGCGAACGGGUGAGUAACACGUGAGUAACCUUCCCUUGACUUUGGGAUAAAUUCAGGAAACUGGGGCUAAUACUGGCUAGGAGCUCCUGCUGCCUGGUGGGGGUUGGAAAGUUUCGGCGGUUGGGGAUGGACUCGCGGCUUAUCAGCUUGUUGGUGGGGUAGUGGCUUACCAAGGCUUAGACGGGUAGCCGGCCUGAGAGGGUGACCGGCCACAUUGGGACUGAGAUACGGCCCAGACUCCUACGGGAGGCAGCAGUGGGGAAUAUUGCACAAUGGGCGGAAGCCUGAUGCAGCAACGCCGCGUGCGGGAUGACGGCCUUCGGGUUGUAAACCGCUUUCGCCUGUGACGGAGCGUGAGUGACGGUAAUGGGUAAAGAAGCACCGGCUAACUACGUGCCAGCAGCCGCAGUAA
rnacentral:rRNA from 1 species